rnacentral:rRNA from 1 species
UGGCUCAGUAACACGUGGAGAAUCUAACCUUUGGUGGAGGAUAAUCUCGGGAAACUGAGAAUAAUACUCCAUAAACAUAGGAUGCUGGAAUGCUUCUAUGUUGAAAGGCAACGCCAAAGGAUGACUCUGCGACCUAUCAGGCUGUAGUGAGUGUAAUGGACUCACUAACCUGCAACGGGUACGGGUGUUGGAAGACAUUGCCCAGAGAUGGACUCUGAGACGUGAGUCCAGGUUCUACGGAACGCAGCAGGCGCGAAAACUCCGCAAUGUACGAAAGUACGACGGGGGAAUUCUGAGUGCUUACGCCUUGCGUAGGCUGUUUUCUUGUCUAAAAAACAAGGAGAGUAAGGGCUGGGUAAGACGGGUGCCAUCUCGUGCAAUUCUGCACUUAUUGUGUUCGUUGCACGAAGCACAAGCCGCCGCGGUAAUACCCGCGGCCCGAGUGGUGCUCAUUAUUAUUGAGCCUAAAACGUCCGUAGCCGGUUUAAUAAAUUCUUGGGUAAAUCACAUCGCUUAACGAUAUGAAUUCUGAGAACACUGCUAAACUCGGGAAUGGGAGAGGCCAGAGGUACUUUCAGGGUAGGGGUAAAAUCCCGUAAUCCUGAGAGGACCACCGGUGGCGAAGGCGUCUGGCUAGAACAUAUUCGACGGUAAGGGACGAAGCCCUGGGGCGCAAACGGGAUUAGAUACCCCGGUAGUCCAGGGUGUAAACGCUGUAGAUUUGGUGUUGGAAAUCCUACGGGGAUUCCCAGUGCCGGAGAGAAGUUGUUAAAUCUACUGCUUGGGGAGUACGGUCGCAAGACUGAAACUUAAAGGAAUUGGCGGGGGAGCACCGCAACGGGUGGAGCGUGCGGUUUAAUUGGAUUCAACGCCGAGAAACUCACCGGGGGCGACCAUUAUAUGAA